rnacentral:tRNA from 1 species
GGUUCCAUAGCUCAACUGGAUAGAGCAACUGCCUUCUAAGCAGUAGGUUGAUGGUUCGAGUCCAUCUGGAAUCA